AACUAACCAUUUUUCUUCAAAAUAAUUUUCAAGAAAAUAUUUUUCUCUAUCAUGAAGAUUUCAUUGAAAUAAACCGAUCUGAAUUUAAUUGCGGGGGUGAGAAGUGGUCUUGAAAUAAAUUUUAUUUUUCUCUGAUGGCUUUCUUUUUCUUCACACGUGCGGCUAACCAACCCUACAGCAGCUGUCCUUUAGGAGCCCCCGCACGAAGAACAAGAAGAAGCCGGCGAGACCUGCGUUCCAGUUAGCUUCCGCGUUCAUAUUACAUCAGCUACAACAAAGGCAGUGAGGAAGACGGUAGAGGCCACGACACCGGCAUAUCCAACGGGAUUGAAGGCGACGAUGGAGACGACAGCAUCUUCGACAGGAUCAAAGGCGACGAUGGAGACAACGGCAGAUGGAGGGUCAAAAAUUGGACAAGCCGGCAAGAGAGUAAUGGGAGCAGAGUAGAGCAGUGCAAAGUAAUAACAAAAGUCGGAAGUGGCGGCCUCAAGUAGCCAAUGUCUUUUUCACUGAGGGGAUCCUUCUUGAUAUCGUACUGGACCAGACAAGCAAGUCAUCCAAGGUCUUCAGCAAAAUAUGUGGUGCAGAUUGCACCGUCACUCUUUCAUUUAAUUCUCUCUCUCUCUUAGUCUUGGCUCAAGGAAAUUAUUGGCUAGCGUUCAUUUUCUUCCAUUAAUUUUUGCUAUUCUUUUCUGAUUUUUUGUCGAGCUAUUCAAGCCAGG
rnacentral:lncRNA from 1 species